ACAAGUAUUAGCCUUUCAAAAAGGGCUAGUCAACUCUUAGCUGAUGAAAAUGGAAAGUGCUCUCGCUUUGUAGAUUUAUUCAUUUACUAGAAUAGCCACGUGCAUCAAUCAACAAAUUUUACCACACACGUGAGGUCACACGUUAUGAAGUAGUAUAUAUCGUUUAACGUUGUUGUUUACGAAACUCCAGAAGAUUCGACUAUUUAUAGAUAAAAGUUACCUGUGUUCCAAUAUCAUGAAUAUGCAUGAUUAAUGACUAGGCAAAAUCUAAUUGCUAAAAUAGAGAGGACAAAUCCGACGGGAUUGAAGGACAUUUACUAGGUUUGGAUUGUCCUAACCAAAUUCAAUAAACUUUGAUUAUUCACGUCUCGUAAUAUCUU
rnacentral:lncRNA from 1 species